rnacentral:rRNA from 1 species
AUCCUUGAAGUAGGAAUUCGCAAUCUCUUGCCCUGAGAUGCACUCUGAUGCUGGCAACAAGAAUACACUCUUGUUGCAUGUGCUCAGUGAUAUUAUCAGGGCAAGAGAGAGCGAAAUUUCCUGCUUCAUCAUGCUCUUUAACACCUGUGCACCACAUAAAAGCAGAGUUUCAAUGUUUCUCUGAGUUAGUGUUAGUGAAUUAUAAUAGGUUAGGGGUACCACCCCGGGGGGUCCAAUAUGGAUCUGCUGGGUGUGUGUAUGCACUAUGUAUAUGCUUCUGGGAGGCACUUGGAAGAAAUAUGGGUGGUUUUGCCUUUAACAUACAAAACUCUUAAAAAUGUCAUGUAGAAUGAGAUGCUCCAGGAGUGAGCUAAAAAUAUAUACAACUUUCAACAAUGGAUCUCUUGGCUCUCGCAUCGAUGAAGAACGCAGCGAAAUGCGAUAAGUAAUGUGAAUUGCAGAAUUCAGUGAAUCAUCGAAUCUUUGAACACACCUUGUGCUCCUUGGGUCACCUAUGGAGCAUGCCUGUUUGAGUGUCAUAUUGAAUCAACUCCCCUCAGGUUUUUCGUUCUGAAAAGCCUGUUCAGGUGGAGUUGGAUUUGGAGGUUUCAUGCAGGUCCCCCCUUGGGGGAUCAGCUCCUCUUAAAUACAUUAGCUUAUAGGAUGAAGCAAAAAGGCUCUUUAGCAUUGUUCAUUGGCUAUGGUGUAAUAA